UAAUCAAUCGGAAAAAUAUAUUAUUUUGAAAAAGGAGCGGAUCCACCCGUGUGUACGUCUGAGCCACGUUCAGGAGUCUUAAAGUUCGGGUUUAUCGCUGCAGGCGAGUCUCACGCGCCGAACCCUCUGCUGGCGGCACAUUUCAGUGACAAAGAAUCUUAAAACGGAUUCAACCUGCUCAAUGAAUUCUGUCACUUCAGGGAAAUGACAACUGUUUUCAAGUUGGCCGAUGAAGUCGCUGCUGUGUGGGCGAGUGAACAGCGGAAUAUUCUACAUGUUUCAGACGUUGCCCGGGUGGAAGAGGCUUUUAAAAGAGUUUGAGCGGUACUCCAACCACAAAAGACCCGACUGCAAAAGAAUAGACCUGCAACCCAUUUGUAAACAAACCCACCCGGUGAAUCGAGCCCGUCCGAGCAAGAAUUUUUUUGUUCGAGAUGCAAAUGACGGUGGCCUUAAGGGACAUUUCACACAACAACUCUGCCUGUUCUAAUGACAGCGACCAGAACUCGGUUAGGAGCAGCGGACCAAACGUCUGUGUCGCCGUCUCCAUCAGCGGCUCGUUGCAGAUCCACAGCAGACCAGCAGCCCACCUGACAAGGGCCGCCCUGUUUUUGGGUGGAAGAAAUCUCCCGAGGUCAUUUUCCAACUCACCCUUUCCUCUGGCUAACGUCAGCGACGCUUCAUUCUGAACAGGACAUCUAUUGGUCCUGUCCAUCCUGGAGAGGGACCCAACUCUGUUGAAGGUUUCUUCAAUGUUUUCCCUGUGAAAGUUUUUUUUUAAUUUCUUUAGUUUUUCCUGAUCCGAUGUGAGGUCAAAGGUCAGGGAUGUCUAUGUGUACAGAUUGUAAAGCCC